UAUGCAGAAAUGUUGUCAAGUGAGAGUUUGGAAGGAGGUUGGCUUGUGAUGUAGGUAAGAACAAGCAGUCAGUCACACAUUUACUGUACUUUCAAACACAGCAGACACUGAGUGAAUCAUCACUUCAUCAUUCUGUUCAGAGACUGAAUAAGAAUAACCAUGGCGAAAACACCAAUUAAUAUAAAAAAAGGAAUCAUGAGUGAUGAGAUGCAGCGGGACGCUCUUCAGUGCGCUCUUCUGGCUGUGAAUAUGUAUAAAAAGGGAAUCAACAUUGCUAACUACAUCAAGAAGGAAUUUGACAGAAAGCAUCAGGCAUCCUGGCAAUGCAUUGUGGGGAGCACUGGUUACAGUGUGUCGCACAACAGCAACUGUUAUAUAAACUUCACAGUUGGCAAAAAACAUAUUGUGCUUUUCAAGGCACCCUGAGUGACAGUAACAGUUAAAACAUAUUCUAUGAAAAGAUGCUGGGGUGUGUAAGAGACCCAGGGUCUGCUAUUUUGUGGUGGCAUGAUUUUGUGGCAUAGGUCUGGUAGUUUAAUUAAACUUUAUCAUUUGCUGUGGGAUUAUUAAAUAUUAAAUAUUAACCUGUAUCAUAAUUUAAAGGCCUCUAAACAAGAUCAAAUCUUUGUUGAAAAACCUGUUGCACAAUCUAUUACAUGCCUUCUGUCGUCUGAUUGAUAUUUUAGGCAUUCAAUCAAGUACAAGUAGUCUUUUAGUGUAAUUGUACAAAUGUCCACCUUCUUUUUGCUUUGAAAACUGAAUCAUUUUUACAAUGAUACAUUUAUCAUUGUAUCAUUUAUAUAUGCAAUAAAUCCUACAAAACACCAUUCUUAAUAAAUGUCCCGCAUGCUUUUGUUCUGUUUGUGUAUAUUUAGGGACAAUCGAUGAUGCAGAUUCGAUAUGCUUCAGUGUAGAUGUUGCAGGGUUUUUCAGAUGAAGGAAUGUUGUGAAGUGAGAACAGGUGGAGUCUCCUUUGAUGUUGGUGAUAGACAUAUCCUGCUUUUCAAGACUGACUGAGCAACAGUUCAAACACAUCUGGUUAA